AGGGAACUGAAACAUCUUAGUACCUGCAGGAAAAGAAAAUAAAUAAUGAUUCCCCCAGUAGUGGCGAGCGAACGGGGAACAGCCCAAACCAUCCAUGUUACGGCAUGGGUGGGGUUGUAGGACUACGUCGUUGCAUGAAGACAUCAGAGAAGAACUUUCUGGAAAGAAAGACCAUAGAGCAUGACAGUUGCGUAUUCGAAUGUUGUCGAAGCAUAGUAGUAUCCUGAGUAGCGCGGAGCACGAGGAAUUCUGCGUGAAUCUGCCGGGACCAUCCGGUAAGGCUAAAUACUCCCGAGAGACCGAUAGCGAACCAGUACCGUGAGGGAAAGGUGAAAAGCACUUCGAACAGAAGAGUGAAAUAGUUCCUGAAACCGUGCGCCUACAAGCGGUCGGAGCUCGUUAAUGAGUGACGGCGUGCCUUUUGCAUAAUGAACCUACGAGUUGCCUUUGCCGGCAAGGUUAAGUGUGACGACACACGUAUCCGAAGCGAAAGCGAGUCUGAACAGGGCGUAUAGUCGGCAGUGGCAGACGCGAAACCAAGUGAUCUACCCUUGGCCAGGUUGAAGGCUGGGUAACACCAGCUGGAGGACCGCACCAAUAAGCGUUGAAAAGCUUCUGGAUGAGCUGAGGGUAGGGGUGAAAGGCUAAUCAAACUUGGAGAUAGCUCGUACUCCCCGAAAUGCAUUUAGGUGCAGCCUUGACUUAUACUGGCAUGAGGUAGAGCGACUGAUAAGAUGCGAGGGCUUCACCGCCUAUCAAGUCUUGACAAACUCCGAAUGCGCAUCAGUUCUACCGCAGGAGUGAGGGCAUGGGUGCUAAGGUCCGUGCCCGAGAGGAGAAGAAUCCGGACCACCUGCUAAGGUCCCGAAAUGACAGCUAAGUUAAACUAACGAAGUCUGACUGCUAAGACAGCUAGGAUGUUGGCUUGGAAGCAGCCAUUCAUUUAAAGAGUGCGUAACAGCUCACUAGUCGAGGAGUCGGGCGUGGAUAAUAAUCGGGUAUUAAGUUGUCUACCGAAGCAGUGGGAUCAUUAAUAUGAUCGGUAGGGGAGCAUUCCAGUCAGCGUCGAAGGCGUACCGUGAGGUAUUCUGGAGCGUCUGGAAAAGCAAAUGUAGGUAUAAGUAACGAUAAAGGGGGCGGGAAACCCCCUCGCCGAAAGACUAAGGUUUCCUGAUCAACGCUAAUCGGAUCAGGGUCAGUCGGGUCCUAAGGCUCAGCCGAACGGCGAUGCCGAUGGCAGAAACGGUUAAUAUUCCGUUACUACCUUCAGGAGUGACGUGGAGACGCAGUAGUGACAGUGCCGCCAUCUGACGGAAUAGAUGGUUGAAGGGUGUAGGAGUCGAUCAUGGCAGGCAAAUCCACCAUGAGAUCCGAACCUGACAGUAUGCCGCGUCCUUCGGGACAAGGCAAUAGUGCGCGUAAGCAUGCUGCCGAGAAAAUCCGCUAAACUUAAUCCUGCAGGUACCCGUACCGCAAACGGACACACGUAGUCGGGAUGAAUAUUCUAAGGCGCUUGAGUGAUUCACGGUUAAGGAACUAGGCAAACUGACCCUGUAACUUCGGGAUAAAGGGUCCCUACCCUUUUAUGGGAGGGCGCAGAGAAUCGGUCCAGGCAACUGUUUAACAAAAACACAGGGCUGUGCCAAAUCGAAAGAUCCAGUAUACAGCCUGACACCUGCCCGGUGCUGGAAGGUUAAGAGGAGAUGUCAUCGAUAAGAGAAGCGUUGAAUUGAAGCCCCAGUAAACGGCGGCCGUAACUAUAACGGUCCUAAGGUAGCGAAAUUCCUUGUCGGGUAAGUUCCGACCUGCACGAAUGGUGUAAUGAUCUGGACGCUGUCUCAACCGUGAGCUCAGUGAAAUUGUAGUAUCGGUGAAGAUGCCGAUUACCCGCGAUGGGACGAAAAGACCCCGUGAACCUUUACUAUAGCUUAACAUUGAAUUUGGGUAAUUGAUGUGUAGGAUAGGCCGGAGGCUUUGAAGCAGGUACGCCAGUAUUUGUGGAGCCGCUGUUGAAAUACGGCCCUUUGAUUAUUUGAGUUCUAACCCGUUGUAACGGGGACACUGUUUGGUGGGUAGUUUGACUGGGGUGGUCGCCUCCAAAAGCGUAACGGAGGCUUCUA
rnacentral:rRNA from 1 species